GACGAAGGGGGCUAGCGUUGUUCGGAAUUACUGGGCGUAAAGCGCGUGUAGGCGGUUGUCCAAGUCAGGUGUGAAAGCCUUGAGCUCAACUCAAGAAAUGCACUUGAUACUGGAUGACUAGAGGACCGGAGAGGAUAGUGGAAUUCCCAGUGUAGUGGUGAAAUACGUAGAGAUUGGGAAGAACACCAGUGGCGAAGGCGGCUAUCUGGACGGUUACUGACGCUAAGACGCGAAAGCGUGGGGAGCAAACAGG
rnacentral:rRNA from 1 species